UACGUAGGUGGCAAGCGUUGUCCGGAUUUACUGGGCGUAAAGAGCGUGUAGGCGGCCACGCAGGUCCGUUGUGAAAACUGGAGGCUCAACCUUCAGACGUCGACGGAAACCGUGUGGCUAGAGUCCGGAAGAGGAGAGUGGAAUUCCUGGUGUAGCGGUGAAAUGCGCAGAUAUCAGGAAGAACACCAAUGGCGAAGGCAGCUCUCUGGGACGGUACUGACGCUGAGACGCGAAAGCGUGGGGAGCGAACAGG
rnacentral:rRNA from 1 species